GACGAACGCUGGCGGCAUGCCUAAUACAUGCAAGUUGAACGAUGAUAUUCUCUGCUUGCAGAGAAUUGAAGAGUAGCGAACGGGUGAGUAACACGUGGGGAACCUGCCCAUGAGAGGGGGAUAACAUUCGGAAACGGAUGCUAAUACCGCAUAAUGCUUUGGACCGCCUGGUCCAGAGACGAAAGACGGCUUUUGCUGUUACUCAUGGAUGGCCCCGCGCCGUAUUAGCUAGUUGGUGAGGUAAUGGCUCACCAAAGCUGUGAUACGUAGCCGACCUGAGAGGGUGAUCGGCCACACUGGUACUGAGACACGGCCCAGACUCCUACGGGAGGCAGCAGUAGGGAAUCUUCCACAAUGGGCGAAAGCCUGAUGGAGCAAUGCCGCGUGAAUCAAGAAGGUCUUCGGAUCGUAAAGUUCUGUUAUUAGAGAAGAACAAGUCAAGGAGUAACUGUCUUGACUUUGACGGUACCUAACCAGAAAGUCACGGCUAACUACGUG
rnacentral:rRNA from 1 species